rnacentral:rRNA from 1 species
UACGAAGGGGGCUAGCGUUACUCGGAAUCACUGGGCGUAAAGGGUGCGUAGGCGGGUCUUUUAAGUCAGGGGUGAAAUCCUGGAGCUCAACUCCAGAACUGCCUUUGAUACUGAAGAUCUUGAGUUCGGGAGAGGUGAGUGGAACUGCGAGUGUAGAGGUGAAAUUCGUAGAUAUUCGCAAGAACACCAGUGGCGAAGGCGGCUCACUGGCCCGAUACUGACGCUGAGGCACGAAAGCGUGGGGAGCAAACAGGG